rnacentral:rRNA from 1 species
UACGGGAGGCAGCAGUGGGGAAUAUUGCACAAUGGGCGCAAGCCUGAUGCAGCCAUGCCGCGUGUAUGAAGAAGGCCUUCGGGUUGUAAGUACUUUCAGUCGUGAGGAGGUGUUAAGGUUAAUAACCUUAGCAAUUGACGUUAGCGACAGAAGAAGCACCGGCUAACUCCGUGCCAGCAGCCGCGGUAAUACGGAGGGUGCGAGCGUUAAUCGGAAUUACUGGGCGUAAAGGGCACGCAGGCGGUUAAUUAAGUUGGAUGUGAAAUCCCCGGGCUUAACCUGGGAAUGGCAUUCAAGACUGGUUAGCUAGAGUCUUGUAGAGGGGGUAGAAUUCCAUGUGUAGCGGUGAAAUGCGUAGAGAUGUGGAGGAAUACCGGUGGCGAAGGCGGCCCCUGGACAAAGACUGACGCUCAUGUGCGAAAGCGUGGGGAGCAAACAGGGAUUAGAUACC